CCUACGGGAGGCAGCAGUGAGGAAUAUUGGUCAAUGGGCGCGAGCCUGAACCAGCCAUGUCGCGUGCAGGAAGACGGCCCUACGAGUUGUAAACUUCUUUUGUAAGAGGAUAAAGUCAGACACGCGUAUCUUUUUGUAUGUACCUUACGAAUAAGGAUCGGCUAACUCCGUUCCAGCAGCCGCGGUAAUACGGAGGAUCCGAGCGUUAUCCGGAUUUAUUGGGUUUAAAGGGUGCGUAGGGGGGUGGUUAAGUGAGUUGUGAAAGUUUGAGGCUCAACCGUAGAAUUGCCGUUGAUACUGGUAGGCUAGAGUAGAGUUGAGGUAGGCGGAAUGCGUGGUGUAGCGGUGAAAUGCUUAGAUAUCACGAAGAACUCCGAUUGCGAAGGCAGCAUACCAAACUGCUACUGACGUUGAGGCACGAAAGCGUGGGGAUCAAACAGGAUUAGAUACCCUGGUAGUC
rnacentral:rRNA from 1 species